UGGCACUACAGCUCAAGCUUGAGGUUUCUCUGUUCACAGACAGCGGCUGGUUUUCUGACGGCUCACUGCCUACAGGGAGCUCUCCCUUGAUGCCACAUGUGGAAAAUGGUGUGUUGGAAUCUUCCCUUGGGAAGGCUGGACUUCUGCAAAUUCUUUCCCAUGCAUGGGUAUCUACUCAGAACAAGAUUUGGACACCUAGGGGUGCUUGGCUGGCUCAGAUAGUGGACCAUGCGACUGUUGAUCUCACGGU